GGAGAGAUGGCUGAGUGGUUGAUAGCUCCGGU
rnacentral:tRNA from 1 species